UUCCUGUUCAGAUCAGAAAUAGAUAGUUAACUGACUCAUGUUAGAAAAUAUAGCAUUUAAAAAUAGAAAUGAUCGUAUGCUGUGGGCGAUCCCAUGGAGUGGGGCUUCAGGCAGAGGACAAUGCUCCAUCACAAAAUCUCUAGAUUAUAAAAACUUGUAUCUGCUGUUUCUGUGAACGAAGAUUCUGUAAAGAUAUAAGUGGAACCGGCUUCCUAGAGAGAUGUUCGAUGCCCCAGGCCUGUCGGUGUUUAAGAGGCAUUUGAAUAAUGCCCUUGACAACAUACUUUAACUUUUGGUCAGUGCUGAAGUGCUCAGGCAGUUGGAUUAGAUUAUCAUUAUGUUUACACUCCCCGAAAGAAGCUGAUGGCUGGAGCCUGGACAUGUGCUUAUGACAGAUGUGACAGAUGUAUUCCAGUAAAUGCAAAGUAAAGUUGUUGCAAAUCAG